AGUGAACGCUGGCGGUAGGCCUAACACAUGCAAGUCGAACGGCAGCACAGUAAGAGCUUGCUCUUACGGGUGGCGAGUGGCGGACGGGUGAGGAAUACAUCGGAAUCUACUUUUUCGUGGGGGAUAACGUAGGGAAACUUACGCUAAUACCGCAUACGACCUACGGGUGAAAGCAGGGGAUCUUCGGACCUUGCGCGAUUGAAUGAGCCGAUGUCGGAUUAGCUAGUUGGCGGGGUAAAGGCCCACCAAGGCGACGAUCCAUAGCUGGUCUGAGAGGAUGAUCAGCCACACUGGAACUGAGACACGGUCCAGACUCCUACGGGAGGCAGCAGUGGGGAAUAUUGGACAAUGGGCGCAAGCCUGAUCCAGCCAUACCGCGUGGGUGAAGAAGGCCUUCGGGUUGUAAAGCCCUUUUGUUGGGAAAGAAAAGCAGCAGGUUAAGACCCCGCUGUUCUGACGGUACCCAAAGAAUAAGCACCGGCUAACUUCGU
rnacentral:rRNA from 1 species